UAAGUGUGUAUGUUUAUGGUGAUGAAUUGAUAGAGAUAGUAAAAGAAGAUUACAGGAGGAAUGAUUGAAUAUAUAUUCUUUUUCUUAACAGAUAUGCAUUUCUUUAUUUUCACGUGUAAUUUUUCCUUCAUUCCAGUACCACAUUACCAAUGCAGCUACUUUACUAUAUUUGAUUCAGGUUUUUCAUCCUGCUUGUAUAGACAUGAGUGCAGAGGAAGCUGAAAGACUUGACCACUUUUUUUGUGAAGGUUGUUCUCCCGAGGGACAAAAGAAGUUGGAGAAUUCGCAUACUGUCUCCAGACAGUUGGAUACAAAGGUGGAGACAAAACGUCGCCGGAGGUGAUAUUGUAAA